AUUUCCCCAAGGCAGUUCUCCUAAAGUGAGACCUCCCCAUUGCACUCCAGGUAGGCUGACCCCUGCAAGUUUUCCCAAUAUGGGAAACUUGACUGCGCAGUUUUCUGGCAAUGGGGAACUUUGUUUGUGUUUUUCUCCU
rnacentral:snRNA from 1 species